rnacentral:rRNA from 1 species
UACGUAGGGUGCGAGCGUUAAUCGGAAUUACUGGGCGUAAAGCGUGCGCAGGCGGCUUUGUAAGACAGGUGUGAAAUCCCCGGGCUUAACCUGGGAACUGCGCUUGUGACUGCAAGACUUGAGUACGGCAGAGGGGGGUAGAAUUCCACGUGUAGCAGUGAAAUGCGUAGAGAUGUGGAGGAAUACCGAUGGCGAAGGCAGCCCCCUGGGUCGAUACUGACGCUCAUGCACGAAAGCGUGGGGAGCAAACAGG